rnacentral:rRNA from 1 species
GACAGAGGUGCCGAGCGUUAGGCGGAAUCACUGGGCUUAAAGCGUGUGUAGGCGGGCGGGCAAGUACCUUGUGAAAUCCCACGGCUCAACCGUGGAACGGCUGGUAUACUGCCUGUCUUGAGCCAACUAGGGGCGAGCGGAACAGACGGUGGAGCGGUGAAAUGCGUUGAUAUCAUCAGGAACACCGGUGGCGAAAGCGGCUCACUGGGGCUUUUCUGACGCUGAGGGACGAAAGCUAGGGGAGCGAACGGG